GGCUUUCUGACAGACCUGUGUGG
rnacentral:misc_RNA from 1 species